rnacentral:rRNA from 1 species
GAUGAACGCUGGCGGCGUGCCUAAUACAUGCAAGUCGAGCGAACAGACGAGGAGCUUGCUCCUCUUACGUUAGCGGCGGACGGGUGAGUAACACGUGGAUAACCUACCUAUAAGACUGGGAUAACUUCGGGAAACCGUAGCUAAUACCGCAUAAUAUAUUGAACCGCAUGGUUCAAUAGUGAAAGACGGUUUUGCUGUCACUUAUAGUUGGAUCCGCGCCGCAUUAGCUAGUUGGUAAGGUAACGGCUUACCAAGGCGACGAUGCGUAGCCGACCUGAGAGGGGGAGCGGCCACACGGGAACUGAGAAACGGUCCAGACUCCUACGGGAGGCAGAAGAAGGGAAUCUUCCGCAAUGGGCGAAAGCCUGACGGAGAAAGGCGGCGUGAGGGAGGAAGGUCUUCGGAUCGUAAAACUCUGUUAUUAGGGAAGAACAAAUGUGGAAGUAAAAAUGCACGUCGUGACGGUACCUAAUCAGAAAGCCACGGCUAACUACGUG